rnacentral:snRNA from 1 species
GUGCUUGCUUUGGUGGCACAUAUACUAAAAUUGUAAUGAUACAGGGAAGAUUAGCUCAUCCCAGUGCAAGGAUGACAUGCAAAUUAGUGAAGCAGUCAGUAUUUUU